UAUUAUGAUGAAUAAGAGCUAUAAGCUCGAUAUAAUCCCAGCUCGUCGAAUGUUCUCGUUUAUUCUCACGUUGAGGACAUCCUGAGAUGAAGUCCAACCCUGAUAA
rnacentral:snoRNA from 16 species